GAUGAACGCUAGCUACAGGCUUAACACAUGCAAGUCGAGGGGCAGCAUGAACAUAGCUUGCUAUGUUUGAUGGCGACCGGCGCACGGGUGCGUAACACGUAUCCAAUCUACCCAUGGCUCGGGGAUAGCCUUUCGAAAGAAAGAUUAAUACCCGAUGGUCUCGGUUUAAGGCAUCUUAGACUGAGUAAAGAUUUAUCGGCGAUGGAUGAGGAUGCGUCUGAUUAGGUAGAUGGCGGGGUAGCGGCCCACCAUGCCUACGAUCAGUAGGGGUUCUGAGAGGAAGGUCCCCCACAUUGGAACUGAGACACGGUCCAAACUCCUACGGGAGGCAGCAGUGAGGAAUAUUGGUCAAUGGACGAGAGUCUGAACCAGCCAAGUAGCGUGAAGGGUGACUGCCCUAUGGGUUGUAAACUUCUCUUGUUUGGGAAUAAAGUUCGGGACGUGUCCCGUUUUGUAUGUACCAUUCGAAUAAGCAUCGGCUAAUUCCGUGCCAGCAGCCGCAGUAAAAC
rnacentral:rRNA from 1 species